UACCUGCAGCUCAAGUGGUGGCCGCUAUUAUUGGGCCUAAAACGUUCGUAGCCGGCUGAGUAAAUGCUUGGGUAAAUCGUGCUGCUUAACGGUACGAAUUUCGGGUAGACUGCUCAGCUUGAGACCGGGAGAAGCUAGAGGUACUCCUGGGGUAGAGGUGAAAUUCUGUAAUCCUGGGGGGACCACCAGUGGCGAAGGCGUCUAGCUAGAACGGGUCUGACGGUGAGGGACGAAACCCUGGGGCGCAAACCGGAUUAGAUACCCGGGUAGUCCAGGGCGCAAACGCUGCUUGCUUGAUGUUAGCUGGGCUCCGGGCUCAGCUAGUGUCGGAGAGAAGUUGUUAAGCAAGCUGCCUGGGAAGUACGAUCGCAAGAUUGAAACUUAAAGGAAUUGGCGGGGAGCACAGCAACGGGUGGAGCGUGCGGUUU
rnacentral:rRNA from 1 species